GGGCCCGUCGUCUAGCCAGGUUAGGACGCCGCCCUCACACGGCGGAGGUCCGGGGUUCAAAUCCCCGCGGGCCCACCA
rnacentral:tRNA from 1 species